rnacentral:rRNA from 1 species
UGCAGUCGAGCGGGGUAGCAAUAUCCAGCGGCGGACGGGUGAGGAAUACAUAGGAAUUUGCCUUUAGGUGGGGGAUAGCUUGGGGAAACUCAAGGUAAUACCGCAUGAUGUCGCAAGACCAAAGUGGGGGAUCGCAAGACCUCGCGCCUUUAGAGAAGCCUAUGUCUGAUUAGCUAGUUGGUGGUGUAAUGGACCACCAAGGCUACGAUCAGUAACUGGUCUGAGAGGACGAUCAGUCACACCGGAACUGAGACACGGUCCGGACUCCUACGGGAGGCAGCAGUGGGGAAUAUUGGACAAUGGGCGAAAGCCUGAUCCAGCAAUUCCGCGUGUGUGAAGAAGGCCUUCGGGUUGUAAAGCACUUUAGGUUGGGAAGAAAAAAGUUCUUCUAAUACGAGAACUCUUGACGGUACCAAAAGAAUAAGCACCGGCUAACUCUGUGCCAGCAGCCGCGGUAAUACAGAGGGUGCAAGCGUUAAUCGGAUUUACUGGGCGUAAAGCGUGCGUAGGUGGUCGUAUAAGUCGGAUGUGAAAGCCCCGGGCUCAACCUGGGAACUGCAUUCGAUACCGUAUGACUCGAGUUCGGUAGAGGGUGGUGGAAUUCCCGGUGUAGCGGUGAAAUGCGUAGAUAUCGGGAGGAACAUCAAUGGCGAAGGCAGCCACCUGGGCCUGAACUGACACUGAGGCACGAAAGCGUGGG